rnacentral:rRNA from 1 species
CAGCAGCCGCGGGAAUACGGAGGGUGCAAGCGUUACUCGGAAUUACUGGGCGUAAAGCGUGCGUAGGUGGUGGUUUAAGUCCGUUGUGAAAGCCCUGGGCUCAACCUGGGAAUUGCAGUGGAUACUGGGUCACUAGAGUGUGGUAGAGGAUAGUGGAAUUUCCGGUGUAGCAGUGAAAUGCGUAGAGAUCGGAAGGAACAUCUGUGGCGAAGGCGACUAUCUGGGCCAACACUGACACUGAGGCACGAAAGCGUGGGGAGCAAACAGGAUUAGAUACCCCGGUAGUCCCUGUCUCUUAUAC